GAAUGCCUGUAUAUCCUUCACCUAGUUACCAUUUGUUGGUUUUCCUUCAUGUAUGUGUGUAUAUUUUGCUGAAAUCAUUUGAGCGUUCUUUGGAGACAUCGUAACGCUUUGCCCCCAAGUAUUUUAGCAUGAACCACCUAAGAACAAGGAUAGUAUAUAAAUAACCACAAUAAAAGUAAUCACACUCAAGAAAUUUACCAUUGAUAGACUACACAUUGAGAUUUGUUCUUGUUAUUUCCAUAAUGCCCUGUGGGACUUCUUCUUAACCCUCAUCCAGGACCCAGUCAGGGAUCGUACAUUAUAUUCGCUGCUCAUGUCUUAUGAGUUUUCAGUUUCCUUUAAUCUAGAAUCCCCUAGACUUUUCUUUUGGUCUUUUGAUGUUUUUGGUAUGUAUAGUUUUAUCGUGUUAUGAAAUAGAUGCUAUUUAAACAUUUUGCCUUUUACUGAGUCAAAUAACUUUUUUGUUUUUAAGGUGGGUCAUGAUAACUGGGUACGUGGAGUUCUGUUCCAUUCUGGGGGGAAGUUUAUUUUGAGUUGUGCUGAUGACAAGACCCUACGUGUAUGGGAUUACAAGAACAAGCGAUGCAUGAAGACCCUCAAUGCGCAUGAACACUUUGUUACCUCCUUGGAUUUCCACAAGACGGC
rnacentral:sRNA from 1 species